GAUGAACGCUGGCGGCGUGCCUAAUACAUGCAAGUCGAGCGAACAGACGAGGAGCUUGCUCCUCUGACGUUAGCGGUGGACGGGUGAGUAACACGUGGAUAACCUACCUAUAAGACUGGGAUAACUUCGGGAAACCGGAGCUAAUACCGGAUAACAUGUUGAACCGCAUGGUUCAACAGUGAAAGACGGUCUUGCUGUCACUUAUAGAUGGAUCCGCGCCGCAUUAGCUAGUUGGUAAGGUAACGGCUUACCAAGGCAACGAUGCGUAGCCAACCUGAGAGGGUGAUCGGCCACACUGGAACUGAGACACGGUCCAGACUCCUACGGGAGGCAGCAGUAGGGAAUCUUCCGCAAUGGGCGAAAGCCUGACGGAGCAACGCCGCGUGAGUGAAGAAGGUCUUCGGAUCGUAAAACUCUGUUAUUAGGGAAGAACAAAUGUGUAAGUAACUAUGCACGUCUUGACGGUACCUAAUCAGAAAGCCACGGCUAACUACGUG
rnacentral:rRNA from 1 species